rnacentral:misc_RNA from 1 species
AAAAAGGCCAGGGACCAUUACAACAAACAAGAGAGGGAUAGAUCCUCAAAUCAACUUCGCUUAAAUUCUCCUUAAAAAUCAAAAUCAAACUAACAAAAAAAUGGGCUCUAACAGGUUGCCCUAACCCACAAACAAAAAAGGCCUAAGGCUCAAAAAAACAUAAGAACCCUAACUCUAGCUUAACCCAAAGAAAGAGUCAAGUACCAAGGAAGGAGAUGUUGCCCUCGAAGCAAACAAUCCUUACUACUCGCCCAAGAGUUGCGACCACCAACAAUGAAGCGUAGAGGAAUCGCCCAGCCACCAACACCCAACAUAGCAAACCCACUAGCAACAGAACACCAGGAAGAAGAACAACCAUUAGAACCCAUUUACAGCAACAAAGUAAACAUAGGAAACCAUGGAGAAGAAUAGGAUCUAAAGCUAAGCAGAACCACGGGUGCGAGGCAGAGCUCUUUUGCACUCUAGCCUGGAUGCCCAUAGAGGAAGCACGAGUAACGUCUCCAAGAGAUACAUUCCCCGUCUAAAAGGAUCAACCUAUUGUUCUAAGAACCUGUUUACUUAAGUUAAAGAAGAAAACCAAUCAUUGUCCCCACCCUGCAUGCAAGUUAAACACAACAAAAUCGAUCAAAAGAACCCUCUCCGGUAAAAACAUCAGAUCA